AUGACCAGCAGGCCUGGCCACAGGCAGCACCAAAUCCCAUUCCAGGUGCCAGGAAAGGCACACACAGGCCUGGCGCAGGUGGGCUGUCCUCUGGCCACUGCCUGGGUGGACUGGUCUUGGAGACUGGAUGGAGUGCUCAACUUCAGGAGGAAGCCACAACUCACUCACUGUACAACACGAGAGACAGCCGGCACUGCCCUGAGUAAUGUGUGGAGGAUCUGCCUGGAGCUAGCCAGCCUCAUGGCCUGGACAUGGCCUCAGUGAGCCUGUGAUCAGGGCCCUCGGAGCAGAGCCAGCUGCAGGGAGGCAAGUCAGGAGGCCUUUCCUUUUAAGCCCAGGAGAGAAGAACAAAUCAGCCAGGAGGGCAGGACAGACUACAGAGACACUCGUUGAGAAAACUGACUUCUGCUCCAGAGUGGGGGGGCGGAGGGGCCGCUCCACCUGGGCAGUGUGGGGACUGCUGUCCGCCGGAGAAGCUGCCAAGAGCCCGGGAGAGAAGGGCAGAGGGCACAGCACUCCUUCUUUAUAGACAGCAGGGACAAAGGUGGACAGUGACUACGUCACUCUCGAUUCUCUGCCUUUCUGGGAAGGCCUCAUCAUUAAACAUUUUCAGCAUCAUAAUGCUGGCUUAUAAAUGUUAGUAUACCCAAUUCCCAAACCAUUGAUUAAUUACUUUAUUAAAGCUAUGAUUUACGUAAGGAUGAGCAUUUAAUUAGAGACGGGCUUCUGCCAUUUCACAACCCAGGCAGGGGGAAGGGGUGCGGAGGGGCGGCCGCUGUCCCGGGGUGGCCCUUGGUGUCCUGGUCCAGGCUUUCUCCCCUCCCUUCAGAGGCCUCCUGAGCCCGCUGCUGUGCUGUCUGCGCUAGAAGCCCUGCCCUAGGCUGUGCUGAGCAUGCGCACACACACUCCCAACAGGUCAGCGGCCUCACUCUCUACCCUACUCUCCCAGCCAGCCUGCUGUCCGUAGUCUAGCAGGUCUCCUCUUCCCGUUUAGUGACAGAACUGCUCGGCGCAUUACAGAGGUCUCCGAAAGGCUGUGUGUUCAUGAACCUCCCAUGGAGAGGCUCAGAGGAGCAGCCUAAGAGAUGCCUGCACUGUGCAAAAAAAGGGGGGCGCCCUGCAGAGCCAGUGCCGUUGGUGGGGGCAGGAGUGGUCUCCACAGUGCACAUUUGCACAGAUGUUAGGACGAGGCUCUGGGGCACAGAGGGACCAUCUGCCCUGCCUGGAGACUGGUCGAGGGUUGCAGGGCCCAUGUUCACUGCAUGCCCCCAAAAGAGUCAGGGGAAGGCAGUGCCUCCAUCCCCGUGGGGCCGCAGCCUCCUACUUGCCUAGGGAAACCUGCCUCUCGGAGGCCCAGGGAGGCCGCUCCCCUGCUGAGUAGGCAGGCCCCAAACUAAGGUGGAGACUGCAGCAGGGCAGCAGAAGCUGGUCUCAGGCUGGUGGGUGAAAGCUGAGGUUACUGGCAGUUGCCAUGGCAUAAGAUUGCCAGGAUGAGGGCCCACUUGAAGAACAUGCCUGCACUGCCCUAGAGCUCCAUCUUCCUAGCAGCAAAAUGUCAGGGGAACCAGGCCUCCCCGCUUCAAGUGGGACAAGUGUAUGAGCCUGGGGGGCAGGUGGGGAGGGCCCUGCAGGGUGCCUGGGCAGCCUGCGGAGUGGGGGCUCCCUUCGCACCGGGUGUAGCCAGCCGCACUGCAUUAACAGCCACUUCUCCUUCAGAACUUUGCUCUUCAGGUGGGGUCUGGGGUGAGGAAGCCCAGUAACCCAGGAUUUGUACAAGGAAAGCAGCUUCCUGUGGCUUGGCUUCUUACAAGUGUCUUAAAAGAACCGUCUUGGUACCUCUAGGCCACCAAAAGUUCAGAAAACACUGCAAGAGACACUGGGACACUCUAAAGCCAGGCCCAGAGAAGGAAUGCCGAGGAGAGGCCCAGCGGGAAGGGGUUUUGCCCAGCACCCUCUGCUGGUCCCGGGCUCCCUGUGCAGGGAGCUAUGCCAGCAUGCUGAGGGUGUUCGAUGAGGGCAGAGGCUCACAACUGCAGAAGCCAUGGACUCCUGAAGAAAUGGACCACGCACCUUCUCUCCAGCAAAGUGUCCUCUCUCCAAAGAGCUUUGAAUCUCAGAGAAUCUGAAGCCCCCACCACACGGGGCCCAUCCAGAGCCCUGGCCCAGAGCAGCAGAGGA